GAAUCUUGGACAAUGGGGGCAACCCUGAUCCAGCGACGCCGCGUGGGUGAUGAAGGCCUUCGGGUUGUAAAGCCCUUUUCCCGGGGACGAUGAUGACGGUACCCGGGGAAUAAGCACCGGCUAACUCCGUGCCAGCAGCCGCGGUAAGACGGAGGGUGCUAGCGUUGUUCGGAAUGACUGGGCGUAAAGGGCGCGUAGGCGGCUUGGUUAGUCGGGUGUGAAAGCCCGGGGCUCAACCCCGGAACGGCAUCCGAUACUGCCAGGCUUGAGACCGGGAGAGGAGGGUGGAAUAUCCAGUGUAGAGGUGAAAUUCGUAGAUAUUGGAUGGAACACCAGUGGCGAAAGCGGCUCUCUGGCCCGGAUCUGACGCUGAGGCGCGAAAGCGUGGGGAGCAAACAGG
rnacentral:rRNA from 1 species